rnacentral:sRNA from 1 species
CCUCAAAUGGACCAGAUGGAGGUGGA